AAGAAAUAAGUGUUUUUUACACAAGAACUACAAUCCUUUUAUGUCAUUCGUAGGAUGGGUUUAUGUCUUUCCACUUUACAUUCAGUUUUGAAACAAUUAUGUUCAUUUCAGUUUUUGAUGCUUUUCAAUAAACGAGGUAAUUCAGGAUAUGAAUCUCUUUACCGGGCUUUAUGUUAUAAAUGUUAAUAACAUCUCUAUCCUAUGGGAACGGGGUAUUACAUGUGGUAUUGUGGUGGAAUCGAG